UCCACAGCCAUAUCACCCUGCAGGCCAAGACUGGUUGCCCACUGAAGCUAAGCAGGGUUGAGCCUGGUAAGUACCUGGAUGGGAGACCUCCUGGGAAAAAGAGAUUGCUGUUGGAA
rnacentral:rRNA from 1 species